rnacentral:rRNA from 1 species
AGGAAUAUUGGUCAAUGGACGAGAGUCUGAACCAGCCAAGUAGCGUGAAGGAUGAAGGUUCUAUGGAUUGUAAACUUCUUUUAUACGGGAAUAAACGGAUCCACGUGUGGAUUUUUGCAUGUACCGUAUGAAUAAGGAUCGGCUAACUCCGUGCCAGCAGCCGCGGUAAUACGGAGGAUCCGAGCGUUAUCCGGAUUUAUUGGGUUUAAAGGGAGCGUAGGCGGGUUGUUAAGUCAGUUGUGAAAGUUUGCGGCUCAACCGUAAAAUUGCAGUUGAUACUGGCGACCUUGAGUGCAACAGAGGUAGGCGGAAUUCGUGGUGUAGCGGUGAAAUGCUUAGAUAUCACGAAGAACUCCGAUUGCGAAGGCAGCUUACUGGAUUGUAACUGACGCUGAUGCUCGAAAGUGUGGGUAUCAAACAGGAUUAGAUACCCUGGUAGUCCACACAGUAAACGAUGAAUACUCGCUGUUGGCGAUAUACGGUCAGCGGCCAAGCGAAAGCAUUAAGUAUUCCACCUGGGGAGUACGCCGGCAACGGUGAAACUCAAAGGAAUUGACGGGGGCCCGCACAAGCGGAGGAACAUGUGGUUUAAUUCGAUGAUACGCGAGGAACCUUACCCGGGCUUAAAUUGCAACUGACUGAAUCGGAAACGGUUCUUUCUUCGGACAGUUGUGAAGGUGCUGCAUGGUUGUCGUCAGCUCGUGCCGUGAGGUGUCGGCUUAAGUGCCAUAACGAGCGCAACCCUUAUCGAUAGUUACUAGCAGGUAAUGCUGAGGACUCUAUCGAGACUGCCGUCGUAAGAUGUGAGGAAGGUGGGGAUGACGUCAAAUCAGCACGGCCCUUACGUCCGGGGCUACACACGUGUUACAAUGGGGGGUACAGAAGGCAGCUACACGGCGACGUGGUGCUAAUCCCAAAAGCCUCUCUCAGUUCGGAUUGGAGUCUGCAACCCGACUCCAUGAAGCUGGAUUCGCUAGUAAUCGCGCAUCAGCCACGGCGCGGUGAAUACGUUCCCG